rnacentral:rRNA from 1 species
UUGAACGCUGGCGGCAGGCCUAACACAUGCAAGUCGAACGGUAACAGGAAGAAGCUUGCUUCUUUGCUGACGAGUGGCGGACGGGUGAGUAAUGUCUGGGAAACUGCCUGAUGGAGGGGGAUAACUACUGGAAACGGUAGCUAAUACCGCAUAACGUCGCAAGACCAAAGAGGGGGACCUUCGGGCCUCUUGCCAUCGGAUGUGCCCAGAUGGGAUUAGCUAGUAGGUGGGGUAACGGCUCACCUAGGCGACGAUCCCUAGCUGGUCUGAGAGGAUGACCAGCCACACUGGAACUGAGACACGGUCCAGACUCCUACGGGAGGCAGCAGUGGGGAAUAUUGCACAAUGGGCGCAAGCCUGAUGCAGCCAUGCCGCGUGUAUGAAGAAGGCCUUCGGGUUGUAAAGUACUUUCAGCGGGGAGGAAGGGAGUAAAGUUAAUACCUUUGCUCAUUGACGUUACCCGCAGAAGAAGCACCGGCUAACUCCGUGCCAGCAGCCGCGGUAAUACGGAGGGUGCAAGCGUUAAUCGGAAUUACUGGGCGUAAAGCGCACGCAGGCGGUUUGUUAAGUCAGAUGUGAAAUCCCCGGGCUCAACCUGGGAACUGCAUCUGAUACUGGCAAGCUUGAGUCUCGUAGAGGGGGGUAGAAUUCCAGGUGUAGCGGUGAAAUGCGUAGAGAUCUGGAGGAAUACCGGUGGCGAAGGCGGCCCCCUGGACGAAGACUGACGCUCAGGUGCGAAAGCGUGGGGAGCAAACAGGAUUAGAUACCCUGGUAGUCCACGCCGUAAACGAUGUCGACUUGGAGGUUGUGCCCUUGAGGCGUGGCUUCCGGAGCUAACGCGUUAAGUCGACCGCCUGGGGAGUACGGCCGCAAGGUUAAAACUCAAAUGAAUUGACGGGGGCCCGCACAAGCGGUGGAGCAUGUGGUUUAAUUCGAUGCAACGCGAAGAACCUUACCUGGUCUUGACAUCCACGGAAGUUUUCAGAGAUGAGAAUGUGCCUUCGGGAACCGUGAGACAGGUGCUGCAUGGCUGUCGUCAGCUCGUGUUGUGAAAUGUUGGGUUAAGUCCCGCAACGAGCGCAACCCUUACCUUUAGUUGCUACGCAAGAGCACUCUAGAGGGACUGCCGUUGACAAAACGGAGGAAGGUGGGGAUGACGUCAAAUCAUCAUGCCCUUUAUGACUUGGGCUACACACGUACUACAAUGGCUAUAACAAAGAGAAGCGAGACAGUGAUGUGGAGCAAAACUCAAAAAAAUAGUCUCAGUUCGGAUUGAAGGCUGAAAUUCGCCUUCAUGAAGCUGGAAUUGCUAGUAAUGGCAGGUCAGCAUACUGCCGUGAAUACGUUCCCGGGCCUUGUACACACCGCCCGUCACACCAUGGGAGUCGGUAACACCCGAAGCCUGUAGUCUAACCUUUAAGGAGGACGCAGUCGAAGGUGGGAUUGAUGACUGGGGUG